UCAAGAAUAUUCCUCAAUGGCCGAAAGGCUGAAGGAGCGACACCGCGUGUAGGAUGAAGGCCUUCGGGUUGUAAACUACUUUUGUAUGGGAAGAAUUCGUGACGGUACCAUACGAAUAAGAGGUUGCUAACUCUGUGCCAGCAGCAGCGGUAAUACAGAGACCUCAAGCGUUAUCCGGAUUUAUUGGGCGUAAAGCGUCCGCAGGUGGUUUGACCAGUCAGAGGUUAAAAUUCAGCGCUUAACGCUGAAAUCGCCUUUGAUACUAUCAAACUUGAGACUGGAAGAGGUAAGCGGAAUUCUCGGUGUAGUCGUAAUAAGCGUUGAUAUCGAGAAGAACACCAAAUGCGAGGGCAGCUUACUGGUACAGUUCUGACACUCAGGGACGAAAGCGUGGGGAGCAAACAGG
rnacentral:rRNA from 1 species